CGGGGCAUGGCGCAGCUUGGUAGCGCGUCCGCUUUGGGAGCGGAAGGUCGCAGGUUCAAAUCCUGUUGCCCCGA
rnacentral:tRNA from 1 species